GAUGAACGCUGGCGGCGUGCCUAAUACAUGCAAGUCGAGCGAAUGGAUUAAGAGCUUGCUCUUAUGAAGUUAGCGGCGGACGGGUGAGUAACACGUGGGUAACCUGCCCAUAAGACUGGGAUAACUCCGGGAAACCGGGGCUAAUACCGGAUAACAUUUUGAACCGCAUGGUUCGAAAUUGAAAGGCGGCUUCGGCUGUCACUUAUGGAUGGACCCGCGUCGCAUUAGCUAGUUGGUGAGGUAACGGCUCACCAAGGCAACGAUGCGUAGCCGAACUGAGAGGGGGAUCGGCCACACGUGGACUGAGACACGGCCCAGACUCCUACGGGAGGCAGCAGUAGGGAAUCUUCCGCAAUGGACGAAAGUCUGACGGAGCAACGCCGCGUGAGUGAUGAAGGCUUUCGGGUCGUAAAACUCUGUUGUUAGGGAAGAACAAGUGCUAGUUGAAUAAGCUGGCACCUUGACGGUACCUAACCAGAAAGCCACGGCUAACUACGUGCCAGCCGCCGCAGUAA
rnacentral:rRNA from 1 species